rnacentral:rRNA from 1 species
AGAGUUUGAUCCUGGCUCAGGACAAACGCUGGCGGCGUGCCUAACACAUGCAAGUCGAACGGGGGGAGCGGGUUCGCCCGCUUCUCGAGUGGCGGACGGGUGCGUAACACGUGGAUAACCUGCCCUGCGGUGGGGGAUACCCUGCAGAAAUGCGGGCUAAGACCGCAUACGGUGAUUGGGGGCGACCCUGAUCAGGAAAA